CAGCCGCCGCGGUAAUACGAAGGGGGCUAGCGUUGCUCGGAAUUACUGGGCGUAAAGGGAGCGUAGGCGGAUCGUUAAGUUGGGGGUGAAAGCCCGGGGCUCAACCUCGGAAUUGCCUUCAAUACUGGCGAUCUUGAGUAUGGAAGAGGUAUGUGGAAUUCUGAGUGUAGAGGUGAAAUUCGUAGAUAUUCGGAAGAACACCAGUGGCGAAGGCGGCCCGCUGGACAUGUAUUGACGCUGAGGUGCGAAAGCGUGGGGAGCAAACAGGAUUAGAUACCCCUGUAGUCCCUGUCUCUUAUAU
rnacentral:rRNA from 1 species